UACGUAGGGUGCAAGCGUUGUCCGGAAUUAUUGGGCGUAAAGAGCUCGUAGGCGGUCUGUCGCGUCUGCUGUGAAAACUCAGGGCUUAACCCUGAGCUUGCAGUGGGUACGGGCAGACUAGAGUGUGGUAGGGGAGACUGGAAUUCCUGGUGUAGCGGUGGAAUGCGCAGAUAUCAGGAGGAACACCGAUGGCGAAGGCAGGUCUCUGGGCCAUUACUGACACUGAGAAGCGAAAGCAUGGGGAGCGAACAGG
rnacentral:rRNA from 1 species